rnacentral:piRNA from 1 species
UAAGGACAAAGGGUGCCCGGGACACAAGU